rnacentral:misc_RNA from 1 species
GAUGAAGAACGCAGCGAAAUGCGAUACGUAAUGUGAAUUGCAGAUUUCAGUGAAUCAUCGAAUCUUUGAACGCACAUUGCGCCCGCUAAUAUUCUGGCGGGCAUGCCUGUUCGAGCGUCAUUUCAACCAUCAAGCCCUAGGCUUGCGUUGGAGCCCUGCGGCUGCCGCAGGCUCCCAAAUCCAGUGGCGGGCUCGUCGUCGUACCGAGUGCAGUAAACAUCCUCGCUCAGGGAACGUGACGGGUUCUUGCCGUGAAACCCCCCACAUAUCAAGGUUGACCUCGGAUCAGGUAGGAAUACCCGCUGAACUUAAGCAUAUCAAUAAGCGGAGGA